rnacentral:rRNA from 1 species
UACAGAGGUCUCAAGCGUUGUUCGGAUUCAUUGGGCGUAAAGGGUGCGUAGGCGGCGCGGUAAGUCGGGGGUGAAAUCCUGGAGCUCAACUCCAGAACUGCCUUCGAUACUGGAGAGCUUGAGUCCGGGAGAGGUGAGUGGAACUGCGAGUGUAGAGGUGAAAUUCGUAGAUAUUCGCAAGAACACCAGUGGCGAAGGCGGCUCACUGGCCCGGUACUGACGCUGAGGUGCGAAAGCGUGGGGAGCAAACAGG